CCUACGGGGUGCAGCAGUGGGGAAUUUUGGACAAUGGGGGAAACCCUGAUCCAGCCAUCCCGCGUGUGCGAUGAAGGCCUUCGGGUUGUAAAGCACUUUUGGCAGGAAAGAAACGUCAUGGGUUAAUACCCCGUGAAACUGACGGUACCUGCAGAAUAAGCACCGGCUAACUACGUGCCAGCAGCCGCGGUAAUACGUAGGGUGCAAGCGUUAAUCGGAAUUACUGGGCGUAAAGCGUGCGCAGGCGGUUCGGAAAGAAAGAUGUGAAAUCCCAGAGCUUAACUUUGGAACUGCAUUUUUAACUACCGGGCUAGAGUGUGUCAGAGGGAGGUGGAAUUCCGCGUGUAGCAGUGAAAUGCGUAGAUAUGCGGAGGAACACCGAUGGCGAAGGCAGCCUCCUGGGAUAACACUGACGCUCAUGCACGAAAGCGUGGGGAGCAAACAGGAUUAGAUACCCGCGUAGUC
rnacentral:rRNA from 1 species